rnacentral:rRNA from 1 species
UACGGAGGGUGCGAGCGUUAAUCGGAAUUACUGGGCGCAAAGCGCGCGUAGGCGGCUUUUCAAGUCAGGGGUGAAAUCCCACGGCCCAACCGUGGAACUGCCUUUGAAACUGUAGAGCUUGAGUGUCGGAGAGGGUGGCGGAAUUCCAGGUGUAGGAGUGAAAUCCGUAGAUAUCUGGAGGAACACCGGUGGCGAAGGCGGCCACCUGGACGACAACUGACGCUGAGGUGCGAAAGCGUGGGUAGCAAACAGG